CCGUAGCCCAAGAGAUCGGGAUAACACCUGGAAACAGAUGCUAAUACCGGAUAACAACAGAUGAUGCCUAUCAACUGUUUAAAAGAUGGUUCUGCUAUCACUCUUGGAUGGACCUGCGGUGCAUUAGCUAGUUGGUAGGGUAACGGCCUACCAAGGCGAUGAUGCAUAGCCGAGUCGAGAGACUGAUCGGCCACAUUGGGACUGAGACACGGCCCAAACUCCUACGGGAGGCAGCAGGC
rnacentral:rRNA from 1 species